AGUCUUAAGUUAGAUUUAAGAUACCGCCUGCCCAGUGUGAUUUAAUAAAUGGCCGCGGUACUUUGACCGUGCUAAGGUAGCAUAAUCAGUUGACUUUUAAAUGGAGCCCGGAAUGAAUGGCUGACGGGGGGCUAACUGUCUCUUUUUUACUCUAUUGAAUUUACUUUUUAGGUGAAAAAGCCUUACUAAAAUUAAAAGACGAGAAGACCCUAGGAGUUUAAUUAUAUUUUGUUGGGGCGACAUAGGAACAGAAAUCUUCCUGUAUAAAAUUUUACUACUAGACGAAUUUUAAGAGAGAUUAACACUACCCUAGGGAUAACAGCAUAAUUUAAUUUAAGUUUGUGACCUCGAUGUUGGACUAGGGAAUAAAUAGGCGAGCUGUCUAUUUUUUUGGUUCUGUUCGAACUUUCGACCCUA
rnacentral:rRNA from 1 species